rnacentral:misc_RNA from 1 species
CACCCCUCAAGCGUAGCUUGGUAUUGGGCCUCGCCUCCCCCGGCGUGCCCUAAAAGCAUUGGCGGUCCGGCGCGGCCUCGAGCGUAGUAAAUUUUCUCCCGCUCUGGAGGCUCUGUGCCGGGCUUGCCGGACAACCCCAUCUUCCAAUG